rfam:Salmo salar isolate Sally breed double haploid chromosome ssa23, whole genome shotgun sequence.
AAUGCACCAAUUUGUAAGUCGCUCUGGAUAAGUCUACCAGUUAUAUACAGUAAGAGCGUCUGCUAAAUGACGUAAA